rnacentral:rRNA from 1 species
UCCUACGGGGGGCAGCAGUGGGGAAUUUUGGACAAUGGGCGCAAGCCUGAUCCAGCCAUGCCGCGUGCAGGAUGAAGGCCUUCGGGUUGUAAACUGCUUUUGUACGGAACGAAAAAGUUCUCUCUAAUACAGGGGGCGAAUGACGGUACCGUAAGAAUAAGCACCGGCUAACUACGUGCCAGCAGCCGCGGUAAUACGUAGGGUGCGAGCGUUAAUCGGAAUUACUGGGCGUAAAGCGUGCGCAGGCGGUUAUAUAAGACAGAUGUGAAAUCCCCGGGCUCAACCUGGGAACUGCAUUAGUGACUGUAUAGCUAGAGUGCGGCAGAGGGGGAUGGAAUUCCGCGUGUAGCAGUGAAAUGCGUAGAUAUGCGGAGGAACACCGAUGGCGAAGGCAAUCCCCUGGGCCUGCACUGACGCUCAUGCACGAAAGCGUGGGGAGCAAACAGGAUUAGAUACCCCGGUAGUCC